rnacentral:rRNA from 1 species
GCAGCAGUGGGGAAUAUUGGCGCAAUDGGCGAAAGCCUGACGCAGCGACGCCGCGUGAGGGAUGACGGCCUUCGGGUUGUAAACCUCUUUCAGUAGGGACGAAGCGCAAGUGACGGUACCUACAGAAGAAGCACCGGCCAACUACGUGCCAGCAGCCGCGGUAAUACGUAGGGUGCAAGCGUUGUCCGGAAUUAUUGGGCGUAAAGAGCUCGUAGGCGGUCUGUCGCGUCGGCUGUGAAAACCCGAGGCUCAACCUCGGGCCUGCAGUCGAUACGGGCAAACUAGAGUACUGCAGGGGAGACUGGAAUUCCUGGUGUAGCGGUGAAAUGCGCAGAUAUCAGGAGGAACACCGGUGGCGAAGGCGGGUCUCUGGGCAGUAACUGACGCUGAGGAGCGAAAGCGUGGGGAGCGAACAGGAUUAGAUACCCUGGUAGUCCACGCCGUAAACGUUGGGCGCUAGGUGUGGGGGCCAUUCCACGGUCUCCGUGCCGCAGCAAACGCAUUAAGCGCCCCGCCUGGGGAGUACGGCCGCAAGGCUAAAACUCAAAGGAAUUGACGGGGGCCCGCACAAGCGGCGGAGCAUGUUGCUUAAUUCGAUGCAACGCGAAGAACCUUACCUAGGCUUGACAUGCACGGAAAUCUGUCAGAGAUGGCAGGUCCUUUAAAGGGUCGUGCACAGGUGGUGCAUGGUUGUCGUCAGCUCGUGUCGUGAGAUGUUGGGUUAAGUCCCGCAACGAGCGCAACCCUCGUUCUAUGUUGCCAGCACGUCAUGGUGGGGACUCAUAGGAGACUGCCGGGGUCAACUCGGAGGAAGGUGGGGAUGACGUCAAAUCAUCAUGCCCCUUAUGUCUUGGGCUUCACGCAUGCUACAAUGGCCGGUACAAAGGGCUGCCAAUACCGUAAGGUGGAGCGAAUCCCAAAAAGCCUGUCUCAGUUCGGAUUGAGGUCUGCAACUCGACCUCAUGAAGUCGGAGUCGCCAGUAAUCGCAGAUCAGCAACGCUGCAGUAAAUACGUUCCCGGGCCUUGUAC